rnacentral:lncRNA from 1 species
UCUCUGAGGGUGCUGCGGCCGCCAGGCUCCGUGGGUUUUGGUUCAGGCGCCCAGUCACUUCACCCAGGCCUCGGUGUCUUUCAGAAAGGACAGCUUUCAGAAAGGGGAGACAGCCUGGACAUGGUGGCUCACACCCAUAACCUCAGCACUUUGUGAGGCCAAGGUGGAAGGAUCACUUGAGGCCAGGGGUUCAAGACCAGCCUGGGCAAAGUAGUGUGCCCAAGGAUGUUGUAGAACUCUGUCUAGCCACAGUGUGGGGAUGGGGAGCUCCCGCCUACAGACUCUGUUGCUUUCUGGCUUGG